rnacentral:rRNA from 1 species
GUGGGGAAUAUUGGACAAUGGGCGAAAGCCUGAUCCAGCCAUGCCGCGUGUGUGAAGAAGGCCUUUUGGUUGUAAAGCACUUUAAGCGAGGAGGAGGCUACCGAGAUUAAUACUCUUGGAUAGUGGACGUUACUCGCAGAAUAAGCACCGGCUAACUCUGUGCCAGCAGCCGCGGUAAUACAGAGGGUGCAAGCGUUAAUCUGAUUUACUGGGCGUAAAGCGCGCGUAGGUGGCAAAUUAAGUCAAAUGUGAAAUCCCCGAGCUUAACUUGGGAAUUGCAUUCGAUACUGGUUGGCUAGAGUAUGGGAGAGGAUGGUAGAAUUCCAGGUGUAGCGGUGAAAUGCGUAGAGAUCUGGAGGAAUACCGAUGGCGAAGGCAGCCAUCUGGCCUAAUACUGACACUGAGGUGCGAAAGCAUGGGGAGCAAACAGGAUUAGAAACCCGUGUAGUCC